AGGUUGUGGAGACUCGUUCAGGAACAUGAUGUUUUCCAUUAACUUUGAGACUGACUGACCUUUGACUCCAUAGCGUGGCAGAAAGGCAAUGAAAGUAAAAGAGACCACAGCAGUGAAGCUUUCUUCAGUGUAGUGAAGACCAAGCUCAAACCUGGGACAAACACACAUGGCAAAGCAGGACACUAUGUUGUGAAACACUUCCCCAAAGAGGAGCCAGCUCAUAU